UUUCCCCAGAGAGCCUCAGCCGCCAUCCUGAAGACAACACUGUGCCAGCUGUCAAAGCCGCGGUGCCAGCCCCCAGGCCCCAGGUCCCCUUCCCAUGAUGCCGGCCCCCAGGCCCCUUCCUCAUCAAGAGGUGCAGUGACCGCUUCCUGCCACUUUGCCUCGGCCGCUCUGGGACCUUGCAGGUGGAGGCCCCUCUCUCUGAAUUAUCAGGGUGGUGGCAUCUGGCCCGGCAGCUCCCCUGGCACUGGGGUGGGGCCCGGACCCCCUGCCCGGCUGGGAGGUGGGCUGUAGGAGCUGGGCGGCCUCUAGGGCUCUCCCCCGCCUGACUGAGCUGACUUCUGGGUUUUCCUUCAGCCCCGCUCACACCUUCUACCAUGCUCCCCAGAGCCGCGUCUCCAGGGCGCUGGGGAACCUCAGCCCCGCUCCACUGCAGAGUCAGGAUGCUGGCACGGAGGCCACGGGGCUUCCCCGGCAGGGCCACAGGAGCAAGGUCAGAGUGAACUCCGGCGGCCGAGCCCCAGAUGUGUCUCGGAGUUAGAGUCACGUCGGGAACUCAAACAGGAAGAAACCGCAGCCCCUGGGGCUGGCACUGUGGUGUGGCGGGAAAAGCCAUGACACUGGCGUCCCACAUGGGCACCGGUUCGAGUCCUGGCUGCUCCACUUCUGAUUCAGCUCUCUGCUAUCGCUUGGGAAGGCACUGGAAGAUGGCACAAGUGCUUGGGCCCCUGCACCCGUGUGGGAGACCCCGAGGAAGCUCCUGGCUUCACAUCAGCGCAGCUCUGGAUGUUGUGGCCAACUGGGGAGUGAACCAGCGACAGAAGGUCUCUGUCACUCUGUCACUCUGCCUUUCAAAUAAAUAAUAAAUCUUAAAACUAAUGCACAGCCCCGAGGACAGCUCUGGCUGGACCCAAGAGUGCCUGCGUGCAGUCACUGGCCUGGGCUGGUCCUGGGAGCCUGACCCACCCCGCAGUGCUGAGCAAGGCUGCCUGGAGGAAUUCCGGGCCUGCUACGAGGCCCGUGAUCAGGGAAUAGCAGCGAAGGAAGAGCGCGCCCAGGUGCAGACGCACAGCGGCUGGCUCUGAGCUUUGGCUAACAGGGCUGCGUAGCGGAAUCCGCGUGCAAGGGGAGGGAACCUGAACACACCUCCAUAUCCGCCGAAAGCGACUGCAGAGGGCCAGGGGCCCAGAUUAAAGUGCAAAACCGCGACGGUCCUGGAGGAGGCCCGGCGGACCUGGGCUCCUGUGUGGCCUGGUUCGACGCCGAGGCUUUCGAGAUGUGGACAACGUCACCAUGAAGAAGGACUUUAUUCCGCACUUCUGGGCUGCGAACGAGAUGGCACGGGACUGGGAGAACGGCCCCAGACACCCAUCCAGGCAGGGGCUCGCGCGGCCCGGGAAUCAGAAAGCAGCUGGCUCACGCUCCGCCCCAUCUCCUGUUACGGGGCCUCCCGUGGGUGGGGCUGGGGCUGCGCCAGGCAUACAGAAAACAGCUGAUUUGGCUCAUAGCUUUGGGGGUUCAGGAGCACGGCCCCCAUGUCUCCUAGGCCUUGGGGAGGGCCCGCUCAGCGUGUCGCAUGGCGGGAGCCGUCAUGACAGGGAGCAGUCACAGCAGUGAGGAAGGAGUCCAGGGAGCGGGAAGGGGCUGGUCUCGCUGUCCCCCCAUGAACAUCUCUCGUGGGAACUAACAGGUCCCCAGAGAACCCCCUCGCCUUGCUCUAGGCACCCCCCAGGAAGGCUCUGCCACCUCCCAACCCCGCCACCCGGA
rnacentral:lncRNA from 1 species